GUUGGGCAUGGUGGUGUAUGCCUGUAGUCCCAGCAAUUUAGGAGGCUGAGGCAGGAGGAUCACAAGUUUGAGGCCAGCCUGGGCAACUCAAUGAGACCCUGUCUCAA
rnacentral:sRNA from 1 species